rnacentral:lncRNA from 1 species
UUUUUAAUUAAUUAAAUUCUAAUCAAUAAGAAACUGUCAUGUAUUUUUUUAUAUUUUUAUUAAUUUCUACUACAUAGAAAAGGGAGUAGAGGAAGGACCAAGGUCAAAAUAAUAAUUUUACACUAAUAAAAAACACUCGCUUCACUGCUCUAGAACCAUCCAUAUUCUUCCUUUAGACCUUUCAUACAACAUCUAAACCCUGAAAUUACAUAGCUCCUUAUGGGACCUAUGCAUGUCGUCCUUGAUCAAUUCCUUAAUCUUUUCCUAAGAAUGUCCUGCUGAAAAAUCAAACUUUGACUUGGAAUCAGGAAAAUUUGCAGCUCCUUCCUAUAAAUAAGAAGAGAUGAUGAUGAAGGUUCUAAAUUCUAACAUAUAUUGACAAAUAAAAAGGAAUUCAACCAAUCAGUAAUGGAUAAUUAAGGUCUAACCUUUAAUCUAUGAGUUUUUUUUUAUGAUUUCUCUUUUUUUUUUUAAUUUUUUUUCUUUAUUUCAUACAUAUUUUUCAUUGAUUGUAAAAUCUUAAUUUCUUAANNNNNNNNNNNNNNNNNNNNNNNNNNNNNNNNNNNNNNNNNNNNNNNNNNNNNNNNNNNNNNNNCACACACACACAUAAACAUACAUAUAUAUAUAUAUAUAUAUAUAUAUAUAUAUAUAUAUAUAUAUAUAUAUGUUUGAGUAGGAAGAUGUAUUCUUUAUUUUAUUUAUUUUUCUCAUUUUGGAUCUUUCUCUUAAACAAUAAACAAAAUCUAUGCAUUUUUGAAAGAAUCUAUGAUUUUUUGAGUUUCUUUUGGCUUUUUAUUUUUGAUUUUACUUGUGAGAUGACUAAUUUAUAACAAUGACUAUACAUAUACAUAUAUAUAUAUAUAUAUAUAUAUUCAUAGCUCCUUAUGGGNNNNNNNNNNNNNNNNNNNNNNNNNNNNNNNNNNNNNNNNNNNNNNNNNNNNNNNNNNNNNNNNNNNNNNNNNNNNNNNNNNNNNNNNNNNNNNNNNNNNNNNNNNNNNNNNNNNNNNNNNNNNNNNNNNNNNNNNNNNNNNNNNNNNNNNNNNNNNNNNNNNNNNNNNNNNNNNNNNNNNNNNNNNNNNNNNNNNNNNNNNNNNNNNNNNNNNNNNNNNNNNNNNNNNNNNNNNNNNNNNNNNNNNNNNNNNNNNNNNNNNNNNNNNNNNNNNNNNNNNNNNNNNNNNNNNNNNNNNNNNNNNNNNNNNNNNNNNNNNNNNNNNNNNNNNNNNNNNNNNNNNAUAUCAUACAGUGAAAGGAGCUCCUAACAAGUUCUCCUUUCAAGAUUGUGGUGAAAUUAUGAAAAGGUGCGCGAUUCUCAAUUAUCAUGUUUUUAUUUUUGUAUGGUGGUUGUGGGCGAUGCAAUUUUAUUAAAUUUAAAUCUGUAUAAAAUUCAAAUUAUAUUAAAUUUAAAGUAUAUUAGUCCCAAAUAAAUAUUGUGGAUUAAUGUAAUUGAAUUAAUUAUUUAAGUCCAAAUAGGUAUGAAUUUAAAUAAGACACAAUAUUUAUUGGGUUAGUCCAAUAUUUAUUGGGUUAGUCCAUUAAUUUGGGCUACAAGUGAUGAGCCCACUUUACUAAGCCCACGAUAUUAUCAUAUUCUAGAGGCCCAAAUAAGCACCACGUGUCAAAUGACAUGGCAUGCCAAGUCAAGUGAAGGAGCCAAUAGGACCGUGUCACAUGUCAAACUGAUGCAGCAUGCCCAUGAAAUAAAAACCCAUAAAAUGCGCCACAUCACUUAAAUCUGAUUGGUCAAAGGAAGUCCAUAUUUAUCAUGACUCUUUCUUUCCUACAACUAUAAAUAGGGGACUCAUAAUUCAGAAAAAAAACCCCCAGAACUCUAACAAGUAGCAAUAGAAAGCUCAUGGAUCAAACACAAUAAUUUCUCUAAAAAGCUCAAGCAUUCAAAUCAAGUUCAUCAAGAUUCAAGAUCAAAACCGCAAUAUUCAAGAACAAGCUCAAAAGCCCUUGAAUUCAAGCACAAGUCAAGAUCAAGUCCCCCAAAUCAUUCAAAUCAAGUUCAAAUACAAGAUCAAGCUUUAAGCCCUUGAAUUUAUAUUUGAAAAGGCGAAUCAGAGGAUUCAUAGAGAUUGUAACACUCGCAUUGAAAUUAAUAAACUGAUUGUUGCAAUAUUUUUCUUGUCUUGAAUUAUUUAUUUUUCGCACUCGAGAAUUUUUAUUGUCCAAUAAAUUCUGGCAUGCCCAGUAGGACAAUCUCUACCUCUCAUCUCAACUUUUCAUACUUCUAAGUUUAAGAACAACGAAAUGACUUCCAAGAAGGUUAAUUCUCAAUCAACUGCUUCCAAGGCUGCAGAUUCAAAGUUCUCUGCUGAAGUAGAAAGCAUCCUUGGUGUUACUUUCAAAAGCCUGGGAGCUGUCACAAGAAGCAAGGCAGGCUUGCUAGGACAACAAACACAUCCAGUGUCGUCUGCUCCAGCUCCAGUUUUUGGAUCUUCAACCUCGAAAGGAACAAAAUUCAAUGCACGUAUUUCAGAAAGAGGAAGCAGUGUGGCCGAAUCGCUGAAAAAGACUUUAGAUCUACUUGAGCAUUUCGGUUCCAAAUACUCUGGAGCCAAGAGCGAUGGUCGUUCAACAAAUGUAUCAUCUCCACUUACACCACAUAAGCUAAGCAUUUUAAAAAUCAACUUAUGUGAUAAUUCGUGUUACUCUCCAACAUCUCCGGUGAUCAUGCAAGCAAUAGUAACUGAUGCCUUGUCUAUGGAGGAGCAGCUUGCAAAUCUGACAAAGGCAAUUGAAGGCCUGACCAACUAUGUUCAGAAUCAAGAGGCUAGGAUUGAUAAGAUAGUGGAUAGGGUAGAAGGCUUGAUAGACGGAGAAUCUAUCCAUGCACCGAGAAAAGCUCCAGAGGUUCAUGUGAUAGAAUACCCUGUAAAACAAACACCAUCGACUAAAGAGGUGCAAGUUUCUACUGAGGGAAUGAUCCCGAUUGGGCAAUUGAGGGAAUUUAUUAAAGGGACCCUCAAAGACAAGUAUGAUGUUGUCACCAAGUCUUCCCUUGCAUAUUUCAAGACUUACACUGCAAGAAUAGAUAGCCUCAAAGUGCUUGCUGGCUAUCAACCCCCCAAAUUUCAACAAUUUGAGGGCAAAGGUAACCUAAAACAAUAUGUCGCACACUUUGUCGAGAUAUGUAAUACUGUUGGAACUUACGAUGACUAUCUUGUCAAAUAGUUUGUUCGUUCUCCAAAGGGAAACGCCUUUGAUUGGUAUACAGAUCUCGAGCCUAAAUCCAUCGAUAGUUGGGAGCAAUUGGAACACAAGUUUCUAAAUCAGUUUUAUAGCACAAGGCAUACAGUGAGCAUGAUAGAGCUCACAAAUACUCAACAAAGAAAGGAUGAGCCAGUCAUCGACUUCAUCAAUCGAUGGAGAAAUGCGAGUUUAAACUGCAAAGAUAGGCUCAGUGAAGCUUCUGCAAUAGAGAUAUGCGUCCAAAGAAUGCACUGGGGGCUUCUCUACAUCUUGCAAGGAAUUAAACCAAAAUCCUUUAAUGAGUUAGCUACUCGUGCUCACGACAUAGAGUUGAGCAUGUCUUCUGCUGGAAAGGAAGGAGCGCCUAUUCAUGACCCUUGAAGGGGAAAGAUAAAGCAGGAACCCAAAAGAUGGGGCAAGUUUGUUCCCAAAAAUUAAAACGAAGAGUCCAUGAAUGUUUAUGUGUCUCCUGUGAAGGUCACCACAAAGGUGAGCAAGAAUCAAAGUGUAAAAAUGACUUCUGGAGCACGUCCAAAUCAGAAAACUUUAAAGGAGAUGCAAAAAAAAGAAAUAUCCCUUCCUUGAUUCUGAUGUUGUUGAGAUUUUCGAUGAACUCCUUGAGCAUAAGAUCAUUGAACUCCCAGAGAUAAAGCAUCCCAACGAAGCUGGAAGGAUCAAUGGCCCUAAUUAUUACAAAUAUCAUAGGCUUGUAAGUCAUCCUCUGGAAAAGUGCUUUGUCUUUAAAGAUAAAGUCAUGCAACUGGCAAAAGAGAAGAAGAUCUUCUUCGACGAUGAGACGGCUAAUUCUCAUCAAAUCUCUAUUACUUUUAGCUCGCUCGACCCAGUCCAUAUAUGUGUCGAAGAGCAUAAUGAGAAAAUAUUAGAGCCUAACAGGUCUUCAGUUGACGAAGGCAAUGAUUAAGGUUGGACUCUGGUGACGAGGCACAGACGCAGGAGGAUGAGUCUGCGAAAGGACGUCCAAGCAGCCAACCAGAAGGAGAAUGGUAAAGAAACUAAUAAAAGAGAAGUUGGUUGUAGUCCAAAAAAAUACGAGGGUAACAGAGUUGGUUGUAGUCCCAAAGAAUACGAGGGUAACAGAGCUUCACCACCAAAAACCUCGACGUCCGAUGACUUUAGAGGAAUUCUUACCGAGUUGGUUUCGUGUAAAGACUGCCGAGGAAUUCUUACCGAGUUGGUUUCGUGUAAAGACUGCCCAAGUCAACCUUGAGGCGUCUUGUUUUAAUACCGCCAAAGAGGGGGCAAAGGGUGACAAUCUACCCAUGAAGGUUCCUUCACCUUCUGAAAAGCUUGCUAAAACUCUUGGUGAAAAGGCACAUGUGUGUGAUACAAAAAUCACAUUCACAAAUAACGAUCUUCUGCUUGCUGAGGCCCUACAUAAACGUCCCUUAUACAUGAUGGGUCAAAUUCUAGGAAAGAAUAUCAAUAGAAUUUUGAUAGAUGAGGGAUCUGGAGUCAAUACGCUGCCUAUCCGUACGAUGAAGAGCUUGGCAUCGCUACUAGCGAACUGGACAAAAGCUGUAUAAUGAUCCAAGGCUUUAACCAAGGUGGCCAAAGGGCCAUGGGAUGUAUCAAGUUGGGAUUAGUAUGGAUGAUUUUCAAUCAAACCCAUUGAUGUAUGUGAUCGAUGCCAAAACUUCAUACAAUAUAUUGCUUGGUAGGCCUUGGGUGCACGGGAAAAAAAUUAUCUCAUCCUCUUACUAUCAAUGCUUGAAGUGCCUCAAAAAUAAAGUGGAAAGAAUGAUAGUCGUCGAUGACAAGCCAUUCACUGAAGCAGAGUCACAUCUUGCCAAUGCAAAAUUCUACUUAAAGAAUCAUGUUGUAAAAGAGAAGAAGAUUGAAGAUGUUACCAAGACCAAGUGUGAAGAUCUUACUUCUAAGAAGGUCGUGGUGACUAUUGAAAAAUUCACCAACAGAAAGCCCUUCUUCACUUCGAAAUAAGAAAGCGUCGCUCCUACGAAAAAAAAGGCAGCUCUUGUUCUUCGCUACGUGCCAAAGGUAAUGAAAGAGGAAGAUCACUCACCUGAUGCCCAAGAUAAUGUGAUAAAGGGGCUAACUUUAUCUAUCAGGAAGAUUGACGCAAUAAAUCCAUCCUCAAGGCUACUUGGAGAAUCUGUGGCUCAAAAUCUGCCACCAGACAUGGAACUCCCUCCGAAGCGUACAAAAGAGGGCUUUGAUCCAAAUGCAUACAAGCUAUUUGUAAAGGCUGGAUACAAUCUUAAUGAGCCAUCAAGGUUGGGAAAACUUCCAUUGGAGGGUAACACCAGGCAAGCACGUGAAGGACUAGGAUACGCGUAACCACCUCUAAUUUGCAUCUCCAUAAGAAGGGCAGUCAGUAAUUACAUCACCGUGGAAGAAGAAUCCACUGCCGCUAAUAAAAAACCCUCCGUAUUUGAUCGGCCUGGAGAAUCAACCGCAAGAACUUUUGUGUUCGAAAGGUUGGGUCCUAUAAAUAAGAAGAAAAAUAACAAGCGUCAAAGAAGUCGUCAAAGCACAAUGCUGCACUCUUUAUUUAAAAUCUAGAAAGAUUUCUAAAGUUUGAUUCCUUCUAGAAUGAAGCGACAGAUGGAACUGAUAGUUUUAUGCAAUGAGGUGUUAAAAGCAAAAGCGCAUAGUGUGGUUUAUACCAAGCAACGCAAAGAAGAUGAAGAGUGUGUUGGCUCCUCAUAUCAUAUUACGACUCAAAACGAGAAAGAUGUCUUAUCUCAAAUGAAGGUUGAUGAAGAGAUAGAAGAUGCCUUUAGGUGUUAUCAUAUAUUCGUCAAUGACGAUGAUCCUCAAGAGGAAGAAGAUGCUGGAGAUGCUCUAUCAUAACUUAAAGAAGGAGUAAAGGCCACAAUAGACCCUUGAAGGAAGUUAAUCUUGGAACCAAUGAAGAACCAAGACCAACUUACCUGAGUGUGUUUCUAUAAGUAGAGAAAGAAAUCACUUAUAUGGACAUACUCAAAGAAUAUAUGGAUGUCUUUGCCUGGAGCUAUAAGGAAAUGCCUAGAUUAGAUCCAAAAGUAGCGGUCCAUCAGUUGGCAGUCAAGAAUGGUGCCCGUCCUGUUAAGCAAGACCAAAGACGCUUUAGGCCAGAGUUGCUUCUACUGAUCGAAAAUAAAGUUAACAAACUCAUUGAAGAUGGCUUUAUUCGUGAAGUCAAAUAUCCCACGUGGAUCUCAAGUAUUGUUCUAGUACGGAAAAAGAAUGGCCAAAUUUAAGUUUGUGUCAACUUUCAAGAUCUCAACAACGCAUGCCCUAAGGAUGAUUUUCCAAUCCCCAUACCGUAGUUAAUGAUUGAUGCCACUACUGGUUAUGAGGCAAUGUUCUUCAUGGAUGGUUCAUCCGGCUACAAUCAAAUCUGUAUGGCGCCAAAGGAUGAAGAACUCACUGCGUUUCGUAUGCCCAAAGGUAUAUAUUGCUACAAGGUGAUGCCUUUUGGUUUGAAGAACGCUGGCGCCACUUAUCAAAGGGCUAUGCAGAACAUCUUUGACGUCCUGCUCCAUUAAAAUGUUGAAUUUUAUGUGGAUGAUCUAGUGGUGAAGUCAAGAAAAAGAGACGACCACUUAAAAGACUUAAGAUGGUAUUCGAGUUACUUCGAAGGUAUAAACUUAGGAUGAUUCCAUUGAAGUGUGCCUUUGGAGUUACUUCAGAAAAAUUUCUUGGCUUUAUUGUACGACACCGAAGAAUUGAAAUUGAUCAAGCUAAGGUUGAUGUAAUUUUGAAGAUGCCCGAGCCUCGAGAUAUUCAUGAGUUAAAAAGCCUUCAAGGAAGGCUAGCAUAUUUAAGGAGGUUCAUCUCAAACCUGGUUGGAAAAUGUCAACCAUUUAGUCACCUCAUGAAGAAGAACACUCCCUUCAAAUGGGACCAAGCUUGUAGUAAUGCCUUUGAGAGUGUCAAAUCAUACUUAAUGAAGCCAUCAGUUCUUGCGGCACAAGAGAGGUCAGUUGGAGCAAUACUGGCUCAAGAAAAUAGUAAAGGCAAGGAAAAUUCUCUUUACUAUUUAAGCAGAAUGAUGACGCCGAAUAAGCUAAAGUAUUCUUCGAUUGAGAAGUUAUGUUUGGCAUUAGCCUUCUCGAUUCAAAAGAUAAAGCACUACUUUGAGGCUCAUGUUAUCCGACUUAUCUCUAGGUCAAAUUCCAUCAAGUUUGUAAUGUCGAAACCAGUCCUUAGUGACCAACUUGAAAGAUGGUACCUUCAAUUUCAACAGUCUGAGAUUGUGUAUGUUCCCCAAAAAGCUAUAAAAGAACAAGCAUUGGCUGACUUCUUGGAAGAUCACCCAAUACUUGAUGACUGAGAGCUGAGCGAAGAACUCCCUGAUGAAGAUACAAUGGCUUUUGAAGUUAGAUCCCUAUGGAAGAUGUAUUUUGAUGGUGAUGCACACAGAGAUGGAGCUGGUGUUAGCGUAGUCUUUGUCACUCCACAAGAAGAGGUCAUCCCCUACUCUUUUACCUUGAUGAAUCGUUGCUCCAAUAAUGUUGUUGAGUAUCAAGCGCUCAUACUCGGACUAGAGAUGGCUACUGAUAUGAAGCAAUUGCAAUUACAAGUUUUUGGCGACUCCCAAUUGGUGAUAAAGCAGCUGUUGGGAAGCUAUGAAGUUCAGAAGCCUGAGUUAAGACCAUAUCAUGAAUAUGCAUGAAAGUUGAUAGGAUGGCUUGGAGAAGUAACCCUAUAGUAUCUGCCAAGAAAGGAAAAUAAGCAAGCUGAUGCCCUAGCUACUUUGGCCUCAACCCUGACCUUUCCAAAUCAAACACAAGUUACUGUCCGCCAAGAAUGGGUAGUACCCCCAUCAAACAAUGAUGAAGAAGAUAUAGUUAAAUACAUCAUUGUAGUAUCUGAAACUGAAAAAGAAGAUUGGAGACAACUUAUCAUUGAUUACUUAUGUUAUGGGAUACUUCCAGAAGAUCUAAGGAGAAAUACUGACAUUCAUCAUCGUGCACCUCGCUUCCUUUACUACAAAGACACACUGUACAGAAGAUCAUUUGAAGGAGUACUCUUAUGGUGUUUAGGAGAGGAAGAAGCAAUUCAAGCUUUGUAAGAAGUGCACUUGGGAGUUUGUGGAUCACAUCAGUCUGGACCGAAGCUCCAUUUUCACAUUAAAAGGAUGGGAUAUUACUGGCUAACAAUGGUGAAAGAUUGCUUGGACUAUGCUAGAAAAUGCAAAGCUUGUCAAUUCCAUGCAAAUUUCAUACAUCAACCUCCAGAGGUUCUACACCCAAUUGUAGCGUCUUAGCCAUUCAAUGCUUGGGGAAUGGAUAUUUUUAGUCCACUUCCAAAAUAUUCUGGUGGACACUUAUACAUCUUGGCUGCGAUAGAUUACUUCUCAAAGUGGGCCGAAGCUAUUUCUCUCAAUGAAGUAAAGAAAGAAAAUUUUGCGAACUUCAUCCGAGUAAAUAUCGUCUACUGCUUUGGAAUUCCUCAAUACAUAAUAACUGAAAUGGAAAGCCAUUUGAUAUCAAGCUGAUGAACAAAAUAUGUGACCUCUUUGGUUUCAAGAAACGUAAAUUUUCUAUGUACCAUGCUGCCGCCAAUGGUCUAGUCGAAGCAUUCAAUAAGACUUUAUGCAACUUGUUGAAGAAAGUCGUCUCCAAAUCCAAACGAGACUGGCAUGAACGGAUGGAAUAAGCUUUGUGGGCGUAUAGGACAACUUACCAUACACCGACGCAAGCAACCCCAUACUCACUUGCUUUUGGAGUUGAAACAGUUUUGCCACUUGAGCGUCUAAUACCUUCUUUAAGACUGACCAUUCAAGAAGGGCUCACUGAUGAAGAAAAUGUUGAGUUGCGUCUUGCGAAAUUAGAAGCUCUAGACGAGAAGAGGCUGGAGCCUCAACAAAAUCUUGAAUGCUAUCAAUCUCGGCUAUCUUGUUCUUUCAACAAAAGGGUUCACUUGAGAUGCUUCCAAGUUGGAGAUCAAGUUUUUGUAGUAAGAAGGCCCAUUAUCACUUCUCGUAAGUCUGGGGGCAAAUUCACCCCAAAGUGGGAUGGACUAUAUGUCAUACAAGAGGCAUAUUCAAAUGGUGCUUACAAGCUUGUCGAUGUGGAUAGCGUGAGGGUUGGCCCCAUCAACGCCAAGUUAUUAAAGAAGUACUAUCCUUGAAGAAAGAUGACACUCCUUAAGGUACGAGUAUAAACUGCAUGUAUACUCCUUGAGGCACGAGUAUAAACUGCAGCUCCAUUCCUGGCCCGCAAAAGUAUAAACUGUGUAUGGCUCAAAAAGAAAAUGAAAGUUCGCUAGGUUGAAUUGAAAGAGGCGACCUAGGAAAAAGUUAGGACACAAAAAAAAAACACUCACCCAGAACUACAUUAUGACUUGAUCCUCUUUAUUGAGGUACGUAGGCGCUUGGAAUUUCAUUCUGAGUUUAGUUGCACGAGUGUCAAAAAAAAUAUGUCCAUACAGUAUCUACCAUAUGGAUACCAAGUAUGAAACUAUUCUAAUUAAAUUUUGGACUUACUCUAAAUAUUUGUGACUCAAUGGAGGCAACCCGUCGAAAGGAAAGAGAGUUCCUUCAAUGAGAUUUAGAAUGCCAAAGUUCUCCAAGCCUACAACUAAAAGGAUCUCAAAAUUUACAUGUCUUAAAGUGGACAAGAUUUUUUCGUUUUCACCUUAAGUGGGCCUCUAACGAUUUUAUCCUUAAAGGAUAUUAAAAUUUUCAUGCCUUAAGGUGGACAAGAUUUGUCCGUUUGUACCUUAAGCUGACCUUUUACGGGUUUAUCCUUAAAGGAUAUCAAAAUUUUCAUGCCUUAAGGUGGACAAGAUUUGUCCCUUUGCACCUUAAGUUGGCCUAUCGCGGGUUUAUCCUUAAAAGGAUCUCAAAAGUUCCAUGCCUUAAGGUGGACAAAAUUUGUCACUUUGCACCUUAAGCUAGCCUCUCGCGGGUUUAUCCUUAAGAGGAUCUCAAGAUUUUAAUGCCUUAAGGUGGACAAAAUUUGUCCCUUUGCACCUUAAGCUGGCCUCUCGCGGGUUUAUCCUUAAGAGGAUCUCAAGAUUUUAAUGCCUUAAGGUGGACAAAAUUUAUCCCUUUGCACCUUAAGCUGGCCUCUUACAUGUUUAUCCUUAAAAUGAUAUAAAAAUUUUCAUGCCUUAAGGUGGACGAAAUGUCCCUUUUCACCUUAAACUGGCAUCUUACGUGUUUAUCCUUAAAAGGAUAUAAAAAAUUUUCAUGUCUUAAGGUGGACAAAAUUUGUCUCUUUGCACCUUAAGCCGGUCUCUCGCGGGUUUAUAAAAUUUUCAUGCCUUAAGAUGGAUAAAAAUUUGUCCCUUUACACCUUAAGCUAACCAUUGGAAAGGGCCCAUACUUAACGAAUACCAUUGCAUAAGUGCAUCAAGUGAAAGGACCCAUACUUAAAGAAAACCAUUGCAUAAGUGCAUCGAUGAAAGAGCCUAUACUUAGAGAAGAUCAUCGAAUAAAUGUAUCGGUGAAAGGAUCCAUACUUAAAGAAAACCAUGCCGUCUUCAGGCAAAGUCUUUCGAUCUUAAGGUGAUAGAGGUGAAAUUGAACUCUUUCCACCUUAAACCGAUCAAUUGUUCCAUAUUACUACCUGUUUCAACUAAAAAAAAAAGGAGCAAAAUAAAGAGAAUAAGAUAACACGAAGUUAAAAGAAAUACCUUGUUGAUUCAAAUCGGCCCAAGCUGCUAUUGAUAUUGUGCCAGUUCGUGCAGGUACAAGAAAAAAAUACCAUGAUUAUGGGUAUUUAUAGAUACGUUAAGGCGGUUGGGGUUUUCUAAUCCGUGGUAAACUCAAACUUCAUGAGAAUCCUAAUGCGACAAGAAUAAGUAAUAGUUGAUUCCUAGGAUUAGAUAGUGAAAGAAACGUGUCACACGGAAAAGUAAACUGGCCAAUGGUUAUUCCAAUUCAAAUAUGGAAUAUGAGUUACUGAUUGUCAAAUUAAAAUGGAAUUCAAAUCCAAAAAUGUACUGCAAAUGGGUGAAUUAAAUAUUACAAUGUAAUGAUUUGUCACCAUUCCAUCAUGUUAUCAUGUAGCAUGCCUAAAUCGUCCUUGUUCCCCCAACGUGCAUGUAUUGGUCACUUAAUUUUCAAUUAAAUUAAAAUUGAAUACUUCAAGACGACUUAUUUAAAUAUCUCGAUAAGUUUUGAAGUAGGGGACAUUUGUGGGCGAUGUAAUUUUAUUAAAAAUUUAGAUUAUAUUAAAUUCAAAGUAUAUUAGUCCCAAAUAAAUAUUGUGGAUUAAUUUAAUUAAAUUAAUUAUUUAAGUCCAAAUAGAUAUGGAUUUAAAUAAGGCCCAAUAUUUAUUGGAUUAGUCCAUUAAUUUGAGCUACAAGUGAUGAGCCCACUUUACUAAGUCCAAGAUAUUGUCAUAUUCUAGAGGCCCAAAUAAGCACCACGUGUCAAAUGACAUGGCAUGCCAAGUCAAGUGAAGGAGCCAAUAGGACUGUGCCACAUGUCAAACUGAUGCAGCAGACCCAUGAAAUAAAAGCCCAUAAAAGGCGCCACAUCACUUAAAUCUGAUUGGUCAAAGAAAGUCCAUAUUCAUCAUGACUUUUCCUUUCCUACAACUAUAAAUAGGGGACUCAUAAUUCAGAAAAAAAACUCCAGAACUCUAACAAGUAGCAAGAAAAAGGUCGUGGAUCAAACACAAUAAUUUCUCUAAAAAGCUCAAGCAUUCAAAUCAAGUUCAUCAAGAUUCAAGAUCAAGACCGCAAUAUUCAAGAAUAAGCUCAAAAGCCCUUGAAUUCAAGUAUAAGUCAAGAUCAAGUCCCCCAAAUCAUUCAAAUCAAGUUCAUAUUCAAGAUCAAGCUUUAAGCCCUUGAAUUUAUAUUUGAAAAGGCGAAUCAGAGGAUUCGUAGAGAUUGUAACACUCGCAUUGAAAUUAAUAAACUGAUUGUUGCAAUAUUUUUCUUGUCUUGAAUUAUUUAUUUUUUGCACUCGAGAAUUUUAUUGUUCAACAGUGGUGUAAUUAAGUUGUAAGAUUGAGUUGAUGACCUUGAGGUGCUUGGUAACUGAUAUCCAUUGUUUUGUGUAUACAUUUAAUUCAAAAUUGCCAUAAUUGUCAGCUUAAAAUAUUCAAUUUUUUUUCCUAAAUUUUUUUGUCAUGUUCACUAUUUAUUGGAUAAUUUUUUCAAGAAGGAAUCAUCUGUUCAAGUUUAAGUACUGGGUUUGGAUUAAUUGAAUAAAGCUCUACUUCAAAGUGAUGAUUAAGUUGUAAUUGAUAUUAUUUUUUUUUUUUAUCAAUGUUACUGAAUAAAGAACGUAUGGAGCAACGAUGAAGUUGUAUCCAUCUAACCUAUGGAUCAUGAAAAUUCUUAAGGGCAAAUAGUAAUUUCACACUAAUAAAAAUUACUCUUUUCACUGCUUUAGAACCAUCCAUCUUCUUCCUUUAGCUCUUUCAUACAAUAUUUAAACCCUAUAAUUACAUAACUCCUCAUUGGACCUAUGCAUGUCGUCCUUGAUCAAUUCCUU